rnacentral:tRNA from 1 species
GCCAGGGUGGUAUAGUGGUCUGAGUGUUGGACUACAACUCUGGAUUCCAGGGUUCAAAUCCAUGCUCAGACA